rnacentral:pre_miRNA from 1 species
AACCUUCUGUAUUCGUGCUGAGAUUUCAUCACACACCAGACCAUAAGAACUGGUAAGACAUCCCAGAUAAGCGAAGCG